rnacentral:rRNA from 1 species
AGAGUUUAUUCCGGGCUCAGAUUGAACGCUGGCGGCAGGCCUAACACAUGCAAGUCGAGCGGAUGAGGGUAGCUUGCUAUCUGAUUCAGCGGCGGACGGGUGAGUAAUGCCUAGGAAUCUGCCUGGUGGUGGGGGACAACGUUUCGAAAGGAACGCUAAUACCGCAUACGUCCUACGGGAGAAAGUGGGGGAUCUUCGGACCUCACGCUAUCAGAUGAGCCUAGGUCGGAUUAGCUAGUAGGUGAGGUAAUGGCUCACCUAGGCGACGAUCCGUAACUGGUCUGAGAGGAUGAUCAGUCACACUGGAACUGAGACACGGUCCAGACUCCUACGGGAGGCAGCAGUGGGGAAUAUUGGACAAUGGGCGAAAGCCUGAUCCAGCCAUGCCGCGUGUGUGAAGAAGGUCUUCAGAUUGUAAAGCACUUUAAGUUGGGAGGAAGGGUUGUAGCCUAAUACGUUGCAAUUUUGACGUUACCGACAGAAUAAGCACCGGCUAACUUCGUGCCAGCAGCCGCGGUAAUACGAAGGGUGCAAGCGUUAAUCGGAAUUACUGGGCGUAAAGCGCGCGUAGGUGGUUCAUUAAGUUGGAUGUGAAAGCCCUGGGCUCAACCUGGGAACUGCAUCCAAAACUGGUGAGCUAGAGUACGGUAGAGGGUAGUGGAAUUUCCUGUGUAGCGGUGAAAUGCGUAGAUAUAGGAAGGAACACCAGUGGCGAAGGCGACUACCUGGACUGAUACUGACACUGAGGUGCGAAAGCGUGGGGAGCAAACAGGAUUAGAUACCCUGGUAGUCCACGCCGUAAACGAUGUCGACUAGCCGUUGGAAUCCUUGAGAUUUUAGUGGCGCAGCUAACGCAUUAAGUCGACCGCCUGGGGAGUACGGCCGCAAGGUUAAAACUCAAAUGAAUUGACGGGGGCCCGCACAAGCGGUUGAG